UUGGAGGGCAAGUCUGGUGCCAGCAGCCGCGGUAAUUCCAGCUCCAAUAGCGUAUAUUAAGGUUGUUGCAGUUAAAAAGCUCGUAGUUGAAUUUCGGGGUUCAUCCGUUGGUCGGGCUUUUUUGGUCUGUACUGGCGUGAUGGAUUCCUACCUUCUGAAUAACCAGCAUGUCAUUAAUUUGGUGCGCUGGGGAAGCAGGACUGUUGCCUUGAAAAAUUGAGUGCUUAAAGCAGGCUAUCGCCUGAAUACAUUAGCAUGGAAUAAUGAAAUAGGACGGCAUGGUUCUAUUCUGUUGGUUUCUAGGAUCACCGUAAUGAUUAAUAGGGAUAGUUGGGGGCAUUAGUAUUCAAUUGUCAGAGGUGAAAUUCUUGGAUCUAUUGAAGACUAACUUCUGCGAAAGCAUUUGCCAAGGAUGUUUUCAUUAAUCAAGAA
rnacentral:rRNA from 1 species